rnacentral:rRNA from 1 species
GGAAAAGAAACCAACAGGGAUUGCCCUAGUAACGGCGAGUGAAGCGGCAACAGCUCAAAUUUGAAAUCUGGCCCUCGGGUCCGAGUUGUAAUUUGCAGAGGAUGCUUUGGGCGCGGCGCCUUCCGAGUUCCCUGGAACGGGACGCCUGAGAGGGUGAGAGCCCCGUACGGUUGGACGCCUAGCCUCUGUAAAGCUCCUUCGACGAGUCGAGUAGUUUGGGAAUGCUGCUCAAAAUGGGAGGUAAAUUUCUUCUAAAGCUAAAUACCGGCCAGAGACCGAUAGCGCACAAGUAGAGUGAUCGAAAGAUGAAAAGCACUUUGAAAAGAGGGUUAAAAAGCACGUGAAAUUGUUGAAAGGGAAGCAUUUGCGACCAGACCUUUUCCGGGGGGAUCAUCCGGCGUUCUCGCCGGUGCACUCCGCCCGGUUCAGGCCAGCAUCGGCUCCCGCGGGGGGAUAAAGGCUUCGGGAAUGUGUCUCGCUCCGGCGAGUGUUAUAGCCCGUCGCGUAAUACCCUCGCAGGGGCCGAGGCCCGCGCUCCGCAAGGAUGCUGGCGUAAUGGUCGUCAAUGACCCGUCUUGAAACACGGACCAAGGAGUCGAACAUUUGUGCGAGUGUUUGGGUGUCAAACCCUCACGCGUAAUGAAAGUGAACGGAGGUGAGAGCCCUCGGGCGCAUCAUCGACCGAUCCUGAAGUCUUCGGAUGGAUUUGAGUAAGAGCAUAACUGUUCGGACCCGAAAGAUGGUGAACUAUGCGUGGAUAGGGUGAAGCCAGAGGAAACUCUGGUGGAGGCUCGCAGCGGUUCUGACGUGCAAAUCGAUCGUCAAAUCUGCGCAUGGGGGCGAAAG